rnacentral:misc_RNA from 1 species
AAAGUCGUAACAAGGUCUCCGUUGGUGAACCAGCGGAGGGAUCAUUACAGAGUUGCAAAACUCCCAACCCUUUGUGAACGAACCUAACAGUUGCUUCGGCGGAAGGCCCUUUACUGGGCGGCCCGCCGGAGGUCUAUAAACUCUUCUUUUUUUAUGGCAUCUCUGAGUAACUUAUAAAUAAGUUAAAACUUUCAACAACGGAUCUCUUGGUUCUG